rnacentral:precursor_RNA from 13 species
UGCCUCUGGGACAGCCUGCCCCUCCGGCCCUGGGCUGCCCUUGCCUGACUCUGUCUCACUGAUGAGGAGAAAGGAUGAGGCAGGCCAAGGAAGGAGGUGGCCCAAGAUGCACCCAGUAC